CCCGCUGAACUUAAGCAUAUCAAUAAGCGGAGGAAAAGAAACUAACAAGGAUUCCCCUAGUAACUGCGAGUGAAGCGGGAAAAGCUCAAAUUUAAAAUCUGGCAGCCAUUUUACGGUUGUCCGAGUUGUAAUCUAGAGAAGUGCUUUCCCGUGCUGGACCGUGUACAGUCUCUUGGAAUAGAGCAUCAUAGAGGGUGAGAAUCCCGUCUUUGACACGGACUACCAGUGCUUUAUGUGAUGCGCUCUCAAAGAGUCGAGUGUUUUGGGAAUGCAGCUCAAAUGGUGGNUAAAUUCCAUCUAAAGCUAAAUAUUGGCGAGAGACCGAUAGCGAACAAGUACCGUGAGGGAAAGAUGAAAAGAACUUGGGAAAGAGAGUUAAACAGUACGUGAAAUUGUUGAAAGGGAAACGCUUGAAGUCAGUCACGUUGGCCAGAAAUCAACUUGUAACAGGGCGUAAUUUCUGGUUUUACGGGUCAACAUCAAUUUUGAUUGUUGGAUAAAAGUCAAUAUUUACGCGUUUUCGGACGUGUAGCCUUUGAUUGCAUACAAUGGUUGGGAUUGAGGAACUCAGCACGCCGCAAGGCCGGGUAACUUGUUACCACGUAACGUGCUUAGGAUGUUGGCAUAAUGGCUUUAAUCGACCCGUCUUGAAACACGG
rnacentral:rRNA from 1 species